rnacentral:rRNA from 1 species
GAUGAACGCUAGCGGCAGGCUUAACACAUGCAAGUCGAGGGGUAACAGGGUAGCUUGCUAUUGCUGACGACCGGCGCACGGGUGCGUAACGCGUAUACAAUCUACCUUAUACUGGGGUAUAGCCUUUAGAAAUGAAGAUUAACCCCCCAUAGUCUCUUUAUGUGGCAUCACUUAAAGAGUAAAGGUUACGGUAUAAGAUGAGUAUGCGUUCUAUUAGUUUGUUGGUAAGGUAACGGCUUACCAAGACUACGAUAGAUAGGGGCCCUGAGAGGGGGAUCCCCCACACUGGUACUGAGACACGGACCAGACUCCUACGGGAGGCAGCAGUGAGGAAUAUUGGACAAUGGAGGCAACUCUGAUCCAGCCAUGCCGCGUGUAGGAUGACUGCCCUAUGGGUUGUAAACUACUUUUAUACAGGAAGAAACACCUCUACGUGUAGAGGCUUGACGGUACUGUAAGAAUAAGGAUCGGCUAACUCCGUGCCAGCAGCCGCGGUAAUACGGAGGAUCCAAGCGUUAUCCGGAAUCAUUGGGUUUAAAGGGUCCGUAGGUGGAUAAUUAAGUCAGAGGUGAAAUCUUGCAGCUCAACUGUAAAAUUGCCUUUGAUACUGGUUAUCUUGAGUUAUUAUGAAGUAGUUAGAAUAUGUAGUGUAGCGGUGAAAUGCAUAGAUAUUACAUAGAAUACCAAUUGCGAAGGCAGAUUACUAAUAAUCAACUGACACUGAUGA